rnacentral:ncRNA from 1 species
CAACCUCUGGCGAAGUUCGCGAAUGUUG